rnacentral:lncRNA from 10 species
UAUAGGGCCAUAGGAAGCCAUGGCAUGUUUCAACAAGGAGAAAGAAAUAUCUAAUCUGCGUUUUAGAAAGAUGAUCAUUUGUGGUGAAAGGUGAACCUUGUGAACACAUUUAAUGGAAUAAAACAUUUUGUGAGAGCUGUAGGCAGUUGUGAUUGCUCGAGUGCCUCUUCUGCAUCAUGGAACCAGGAUUGAAGAGAAGAGCUCAGCCCCAAAGGAGAGGAACAGAAUUGCUUCUGGAAGCACCAUGAGAGCUUCCACUCUCCGUGAGAAAAGAAUAGCAGAGGAGGAAACGGUGGCCCUGGAAAGAGCUUGCUGUCUGAGAGGCAAAGGAGGCUGGCGGACACAGAGCUAAGAAAGGUUAAAAAAAUCAUGCGUCCAAGAAGAGAAAAAGAAUACUGUUGAAUUCACUAUUGAAGUUUAGAAAUGAGAAGAAAGGGAUGAUGUGCUGCAGGGGGAGAGCUGAGAAGGAAUGCCAUUAGAACAGAAAGAGGAAUUUGGAUACAAGUACUGGAAGUCAUAUAGCAAUUUGGGAGCAGGGUUCUUAAACACACAUGCACAUAGACACACAUAUACAACCCUAUUUAGCAACCUGUCGGGAUUUCUCCAUGAGAUUCUUAUUCUCGCAGCUCUCAGGCUAGGCCCCAUUAUAGGAACUGAUCAUAAUUCAUCUACUUCAAGCCUAUUUAUAUGAUUUGC